rnacentral:rRNA from 1 species
GACGAACGCUGGCGGCGUGCCUAAUUCAUGCAAGUUGAGCGCUGAAGGUUGGUACUUGUACCGACUGGAUGAGCAGCGAACGGGUGAGUAACGCGUGGGGAAUCUGCCUUUGAGCGGGGGACAACAUUUGGAAACGAAUGCUAAUACCGCAUAAAAACUUUAAACACAAGUUUUAAGUUUGAAAGAUGCAAUUGCAUCACUCAAAGAUGAUCCCGCGUUGUAUUAGCUAGUUGGUGAGGUAAAGGCUCACCAAGGCGAUGAUACAUAGCCGACCUGAGAGGGUGAUCGGCCACAUUGGGACUGAGACACGGCCCAAACUCCUACGGGAGGCAGCAGUAGGGAAUCUUCGGCAAUGGACGAAAGUCUGACCGAGCAACGCCGCGUGAGUGAAGAAGGUUUUCGGAUCGUAAAACUCUGUUGGUAGAGAAGAACGUUGGUGAGAGUGGAAAGCUCAUCAAGUGACGGUAACUACCCAGAAAGGGACGGCUAACUACGUG